GGAUAACCUGCCCUAUCGUCUGGAAUAACCUCGGGAAACUGAGAAUAAGGCCGGAUAGUUCACAAAGCCUGGAACGGUUUGUGAAUCAAGGUAGGAUGGGUCUGCGGCGUAUCAGGUAGUAGGGGGUGUAAAGGACCCCCUAGCCUUCGACGCGUACGGGUGUUGGGAGACAUAGCCCGGAGAUGGAUUCUGAGACACGAAUCCAGACCCUACGGGGUGCAGCAGGCGCGAAAACUUCACACUGCAGGAAACUGUGAUGAGGGAACUCCAAGUGUGUGCACUAUGUGUACACUUUUAUGAACUUUUAAUCGGUUCAGGAAUAAGGGCUGGGAAAGACCGGUGCCAGCCGCCGCGGUAAUACCGGCAGCUCAAGUGGUCGUCGCUUUUAUUGGGCCUAAAACGUCCGUAGCCUGUUUGGUAAAUCUGUGGGUAAAUCAACUCGCUCAACGAGUUGAAUUCUGCAGAGACUGCCAGACUAGGGACCGGGAGAGGUGUGGGGUACUCGAGGGGUAGGGGUAAAAUCCUGUCAUCCUUCGAGGACCACCAGUUGCGAAGGCGCCACACUGGAACGGAUCCGACGGUCAGGGACGAAGCCUAGGGGCACGAACCGGAUUAGAUACCCGGGUAGUCCUAGGUGUAAACGCUGUGAACUUGGUGUCGGGGGUCCGCAAGGGGUCCCCGGUGCCGGAGUGAAGAUGUUAAGUUCACUGCCUGGGGAGUACGGCCGCAAGGCUGAAACUU
rnacentral:rRNA from 1 species